rnacentral:rRNA from 1 species
GUAGGGUGCAAGCGUUAAUCGGAAUUACUGGGCGUAAAGCGUGCGCAGGCGGUUCUAUAAGACAGAUGUGAAAUCCCCGGGCUCAACCUGGGAACUGCAUUUGUGACUGUAGAGCUGGAGUACGGUAGAGGGGAGUGGAAUUCCGCGUGUAGCAGUGAAAUGCGUAGAUAUGCGGAGGAACACCGAUGGCGAAGGCAAUCCCCUGGACCUGUACUGACGCUCAUGCACGAAAGCGUGGGAGCAAACAGGAUUAGAUACCCUGGUAGUCCACGCCCUAAACGAUGUCAACUGGUUGUUGGGAAGGUUCCUUCUCAGUAACGUAGCUAACGCGUGAAGUUGACCGCCUGGGGAGUACGGCCGCAAGGUUG